rnacentral:rRNA from 1 species
GACGUAGGGGGCGAGCGUUGUCCGGAUUCAUUGGGCGUAAAGCGCGCGUAGGCGGCCCGAUAAGUCGGAUGUGAAAUCUCACGGCUCAACCGUGGAACUGCAUUCGAUACUGUCGGGCUAGAGGCAGGUAGGGGAGAUCGGAAUUCCCGGUGUAGCGGUGAAAUGCGCAGAUAUCGGGAGGAACACCGGUGGCGAAGGCGGAUCUCUGGGCCUGUCCUGACGCUCAGGCGCGAAAGCUAGGGGAGCGAACAGG